rnacentral:piRNA from 1 species
AACUUGAUUUGACUGAACAGGAUGAGC